rnacentral:rRNA from 1 species
CCUUACCUACUCUUGACAUCCAUGGAAUCUUGUAGAGAUACGAGAGUGCCUUCGGGAACCAUGAGACAGGUGCUGCAUGGCUGUCGUCAGCUCGUGUUGUGAAAUGUUGGGUUAAGUCCCGCAACGAGCGCAANCCUUAUCCUUUGUUGCCAGCGGUUCGGCCGGGAACUCAAAGGAGACUGCCAGUGAUAAACUGGAGGAAGGNGGGGAUGNCGUCAAGUCAUCAUGGCCCUUACGAGUAGGGCUACACACGUGCUACAAUGGCGUAUACAGAGGGAAGCAAUAUGGCGACAUGGAGCAAAUCUCACAAAGUACGUCUAAGUCCGGAUUGGAGUCUGCAACUCGACUCCAUGAAGUCGGAAUCGCUAGUAAUCGCAAAUCAGAAUGUUGCGGUGAAUACGUUCCCGGGCCUUGUACACAC